rnacentral:rRNA from 1 species
UACGUAGGGUGCGAGCGUUAAUCGGAAUUACUGGGCGUAAAGCGUGCGCAGGCGGCUUUGCAAGACAGAUGUGAAAUCCCCGGGCUCAACCUGGGAACUGCAUUUGUGACUGCAAGGCUAGAGUACGGCAGAGGGGGAUGGAAUUCCGCGUGUAGCAGUGAAAUGCGUAGAUAUGCGGAGGAACACCAAUGGCGAAGGCAAUCCCCUGGGCCUGUACUGACGCUCAUGCACGAAAGCAUGGGGAGCAAACAGG